AAACCUUACUAGGGUAAGACAUCAGAAUGAUUGACAAAUUGCUUGGUUUUUCUUGAUUUGAUGGGUGGUGGUGCAUGGCCGAUCUUAGUUGGUGGGGUGACUUGUCUGGUUAAUUUCGAUAACGAACGAAAUCCGCGCCUUUUAGUUGUACUGGAUACCAAGGUUUACAGUAUUUUUAAAUGGACUGACUGCUUAAGCAGUAGGAAGUGACGGGCUAAAU
rnacentral:rRNA from 1 species